rnacentral:tRNA from 1 species
UCCCUGGUGGUCCAGUGGUUAGGACUCAGUUCUUAAACUGCUAAAGGACCCUAGUUCAAUCCCUGAUCAGGGAA